AGAAUCAACGCUGGCGGCGUGCCUAACACAUGCAAGUCGAACGAGAAAGUGGAGCAAUCCAUGAGUAAAGUGGCGCACGGGUGAGUAACACGUGACUAACCUACCCUUGAGUGGGGAAUAACCUCGGGAAACCGGGGCUAAUACCGCAUAACACCUACGGGUCAAAGGAGCAAUUCGCUUAAGGAGGGGUCGCGGCAGAUUAGUUAGUUGGCGGGGUAAUGGCCCACCAAGACGGUGAUCUGUA
rnacentral:rRNA from 1 species